rnacentral:rRNA from 1 species
UACAGAGGGGGCAAGCGUUAUUCGGAAUUAUUGGGCGUAAAGGGCGCGUAGGCGGCAUGGCAAGUGGAUGGUGAAAUCCCUCGGCUUAACCGAGGAACUGCCGUCCAAACUGCUUCGCUUGAGACCGGGAGAGGUGAGUGGAAUUCCCAGUGUAGCGGUGAAAUGCGUAGAUAUUGGGAAGAACACCGGUGGCGAAGGCGGCGACCUGGUCCUUGACUGACGCUGAGGCGCGAAAGCGUGGGGAGCAAACAGG